CGGCACUGGAGUACUAAAUAUAUUGCACAUGUUCAUACAUUUUCAUACAUGUAAAACAUAUUUAGAACUCAAGU
rnacentral:pre_miRNA from 1 species